CGUAGGGGGCUAGCGUUGUCCGGAAUCAUUGGGCGUAAAGAGCGUGUAGGCGGCCCGGUAAGUCCGCUGUGAAAGUCGGGGGCUCAACCCUCGAAUGCCGGUGGAUACUGUCGGGCUAGAGUGCGGAAGAGGCGAGUGGAAUUCCUGGUGUAGCGGUGAAAUGCGCAGAUAUCAGGAGGAACACCGAUUGCGAAGGCAGCUCGCUGGGACGUAACUGACGCUGAGACGCGAAAGCGUGGGGAGCAAACAGGAUUAGAUACCCUGGUAGUCCACGCUGUAAACGAUGGGCACUAGGUGUGGGGGGUGUCGACUCCCUCCGUGCCGAAGCUAACGCAUUAAGUGCCCCGCCUGGGGAGUACGGCCGCAAGGCUA
rnacentral:rRNA from 1 species